CCUACGGGUGGCUGCAGUGGGGGAUAUUGCACAAUGGGGGGAACCCUGAUGCAGCGACGCCGCGUGGGUGAAGGAGCGUUUCGGCGCGUAAAGCCCUAUCGGCAGGGAAGAAGAUGACGGUACCUGACCAAGAAGCCCCGGCUAACUGCGUGCCAGCAGCCGCGGUAAUACGUAGGGGGCAAGCGUUAUCCGGAUUUACUGGGUGUAAAGGGUGCGUAGGUGGCAGGGCAAGUCAGAUGUGAAAGCCCGGGGCUCAACCCCGGUACUGCAUUUGAAACUGUCCAGCUGGAGUGCAGGAGAGGUAAGCGGAAUUCCUAGUGUAGCGGUGAAAUGCGUAGAUAUUAGGAGGAACACCAGUGGCGAAGGCGGCUUACUGGACUGUAACUGACACUGAGGCACGAAAGCGUGGGGAGCAAACAGGAUUAGAUACCCGAGUAGUC
rnacentral:rRNA from 1 species